rnacentral:lncRNA from 10 species
UUUUUAGUAGAGAUGGGGUUUCGCCAUGUUGCCCAGACUGGUCUCAGACUCCUGGGCUCAAGUGAUCUGCCCGCCUUGGCCUCCCAAAGUGCUGGGACUACAAGUGUGAGCCACUGCGUGCAGUGGAGAUUUCUGCAUUUUUAACGAACUGAAGUAAUGCUUGCUAUUGGUUUGUGGACAACAUUUUGAGUAACAAAGAUG